rnacentral:rRNA from 1 species
GACGAACGCUGGCGGCGUGCCUAAUACAUGCAAGUAGAACGCUGAAGGAGGAGCUUGCUCUUCUGGAUGAGUUGCGAACGGGUGAGUAACGCGUAGGUAACCUGCCUGGUAGCGGGGGAUAACUAUUGGAAACGAUAGCUAAUACCGCAUAACAGUAGAUGUUGCAUGACAUUUACUUAAAAGGUGCAAUUGCAUCACUACCAGAUGGACCUGCGUUGUAUUAGCUAGUUGGUGGGGUAACGGCUCACCAAGGCGACGAUACAUAGCCGACCUGAGAGGGUGAUCGGCCACACUGGGACUGAGACACGGCCCAGACUCCUACGGGAGGCAGCAGUAGGGAAUCUUCGGCAAUGGACGGAAGUCUGACCGAGCAACGCCGCGUGAGUGAAGAAGGUUUUCGGAUCGUAAAGCUCUGUUGUAAGAGAAGAACGAGUGUGAGAGUGGAAAGUUCACACUGUGACGGUAUCGUACCAGAAAGGGACGGCUAACUACGU